rnacentral:rRNA from 1 species
AUUGAACGCUGGCGGCAGGCCUAACACAUGCAAGUCGAGCGGAUGAAGGGAGCUUGCUCCUGGAUUCAGCGGCGGACGGGUGAGUAAUGCCUAGGAAUCUGCCUGGUAGUGGGGGAUAACGUCCGGAAACGGGCGCUAAUACCGCAUACGUCCUGAGGGAGAAAGUGGGGGAUCUUCGGACCUCACGCUAUCAGAUGAGCCUAGGUCGGAUUAGCUAGUUGGUGGGGUAAAGGCCUACCAAGGCGACGAUCCGUAACUGGUCUGAGAGGAUGAUCAGUCACACUGGAACUGAGACACGGUCCAGACUCCUACGGGAGGCAGCAGUGGGGAAUAUUGGACAAUGGGCGAAAGCCUGAUCCAGCCAUGCCGCGUGUGUGAAGAAGGUCUUCGGAUUGUAAAGCACUUUAGUUGGGAGGAAGGGCAGUAAGUUAAUACCUUGCUGUUUUGACGUUACCAACAGAAUAAGCACCGGCUAACUUCGUG